AAGGAGCUCACAGUCUAUUGAGUUGCCAUUCUGACUUCCCCACUAGAUUAUGAGCUCCUGGA
rnacentral:pre_miRNA from 1 species